GUUCGCCUGGCUCCGGUCUCCAAGGGCUCGCCUGGCUGAAGAUCCCAUCUGAACCCUUUGGUGGGACUGGUUAGACGUAGGGAAUCGGGCAGACUGACGUGCAGACUUUUGAGAUCAUCAUGGAAAGUUAAGGAUUUCAUGACAUCAGUAAGGUUACUUAGGAGAAGCAGGAAAGACUGAGAAGAAGUCAUUCUGAAAUGAAGAAAAAACAGGCAGUUCUGUACAGCUUCUUGAUUCUCAAAAUCUUUGGGGAAGAAUUCCAAAACACACUAUCAAAGACUGCCUCUGAAUAAAAGAAAAUGAGGCUCUACUUGAAAUUCCUACCAAAAGGAAACAAAAUCAUCUCCUGAGUAAAGACAGGACAAAAAAAAUAAAUAUGUG